rnacentral:rRNA from 1 species
AUUGAACGCUGGCGGCAUGCCUUACACAUGCAAGUCGAACGGUAACAGGUCUUCGGAUGCUGACGAGUGGCGAACGGGUGAGUAAUACAUCGGAAUGUGCCUAGUAGUGGGGGAUAACUACUCGAAAGAGUGGCUAAUACCGCAUGAGAUCUACGGAUGAAAGCAGGGGAUCGCAAGACCUUGUGCUACUAGAGCGGCCGAUGGCAGAUUAGGUAGUUGGUGGGAUAAAAGCUUACCAAGCCGACGAUCUGUAGCUGGUCUGAGAGGACGAUCAGCCAAACUGGGACUGAGACACGGCCCAGACUCCUACGGGAGGCAGCAGUGGGGAAUUUUGGACAAUGGGCGAAAGCCUGAUCCAGCAAUGCCGCGUGCAGGAUGAAGGCCUUCGGGUUGUAAACUGCUUUUGUACGGAACGAAAAGCCCUGGGUUAAUACCCUGGGGUCAUGACGGUACCGUAAGAAUAAGCACCGGCUAACCACGUGCCAGCCGCCGCCGUAA